CAGGGAUUGCCCUAGUAACGGCGAGUGAAGCGGCAACAGCUCAAAUUUGAAAUCUGGCUUCGGCCCGAGUUGUAAUUUGCAGAGGAAGCUUUAGGCGCGGCACCUUCUGAGUCCCCUGGAACGGGGCGCCAUAGAGGGUGAGAGCCCCGUAUAGUUGGAUGCCUAGCCUGUGUAAAGCUCCUUCGACGAGUCGAGUAGUUUGGGAAUGCUGCUCAAAAUGGGAGGUAAAUUUCUUCUAAAGCUAAAUACCGGCCAGAGACCGAUAGCGCACAAGUAGAGUGAUCGAAAGAUGAAAAGCACUUUGAAAAGAGGGUUAAACAGCACGUGAAAUUGUUGAAAGGGAAGCGCUUGUGACCAGACUUGCGCCAGGCUGAUCAUCCGGUGUUCUCACCGGUGCACUCGGCCCGGCACAGGCCAGCAUCGGUUCUCGCGGGGGGAUAAAGGUCUCGGGAACGUAGCUCCUCCGGGAGUGUUAUAGCCCGGGGCGUAAUGCCCUCGCGGGGACCGAGGUUCGCGCAUCUGCAAGGAUGCUGGCGUAAUGGUCAUCAGCGACCCGUCUUGAAACACGGACCAAGGAGUCAAGGUUUUGCGCGAGUGUUUGGGUGUCAAACCCGCACGCGUAAUGAAAGUGAACGUAGGUGAGAGCUUCGGCGCAUCAUCGACCGAUCCUGAUGUUUUCGGAUGGAUUUGAGUAGGAGCGUUAAGCCUUGGACCCGAAAGAUGGUGAACUAUGCUUGGAUAGGGUGAAGCCAGAGGAAACUCUGGUGGAGGCUCGCAGCGGUUCUGACGUGCAAAUCGAUCGUCAAAUCUGAGCAUGGGGGCGAAAGACUAAU
rnacentral:rRNA from 1 species